GUCCCUGUAGCGCAAUGGGUAACUCGUUGGACUUGUAAUCCAAAGGUUGUGGGUUCGAUUUCCACGUGGGAUG